ensembl:lncRNA
GGGAGGCUCUGCUGACUAAUUCGGUCCAAGCAGAGCUUCCUGCCCAUCUCCUAGGAUCCUCUGCUUGGCCUGCACCUACUCAGAAGCCUUCAAGAUACAAAGCUCUUUGAAAGCAGAUCUCAUUGAAUCUUUCCAUCAAUGUGAGAGGGGUGGUUGAGAGAACCCUGUAAAGCUGACAGAUGGUGCUCAAUAAAUGCUUGAAUCUCCACUUCAAUUGUUCCAGAAUCCAGAGAAGGGACUUCCCUGGCCGUCCAGUGAUUUGGACUCCGCGCUUCCAUUCCAGGGGGCACAGAUUCGAUCCCGUCAAGGAACUAAGAUCCUGCGUACUAUACGGUGCAGCCAAAAGAGAAGUAGAAGAAAAUCCAAAGAAGAUAAGGGCCUUACCUGCACAUAGCCUCACCACCAAAAUGCCCCUUCCCUGCCAUUCUGAAGGAACUGGAGUCAGGCAUAAAAGCACGUUUCUGCAAGGGCCUAUGGGGAUUUUCCAGAAAGACUCCAUUCAGCUGGAGAAUUCCAUUCCUGGCCCUGCCACCCAGGGCUCAGGCUAAGGAGAGAUGCUCCGGCUCAUUCCGGUUCUGCCCAGUUCUUGCUCCUUGCCUGCCAAACCCACAUCAGGGUGUCCCACACUGUAAUCUCUUGCUGUUUUCUGUGGAGUGUGAGGUGCCUGAGGAUCCAAGGGGUCCCUCAGAGGCCUGACACAGAACAGUGAGGGGCCCUCUCCUGACCCCCCUCCCCAUCCCUUCCUGGGCCCUCCCUUUCCUUCACCCAGCAUGUUUUAGCAUUUUCCCUGGAGCCAGCCCCUGCCCUCAGGGUCACCCUGGAUGAACACGGACAAACCAAUACAAUGGACACUGAUUUGGGGCACAGAUGGCACCUGACACAGCUUGGGGGUGGGUAUGACAAAGGCAGCUGGAGAGGGGAAGUGGAGCCAGCUUGCGACAACUGCCUGGACAGAAGCUCAGAGCUUUGGGAUGUACUGUUACGUUUCCGAGAAACUGGAGAACAGGUCUGAGGGAGUCAGAUGGACACUGAGGUCCAAAUAGGAGCUGAACUGAACUCAUGCAUUGUAUCUACUUAGCUGGAGUUGGACCCCAAUUCCCUUCCCACUCCAGCCUCUCCCCUCCACAGC